AAGUCGUAACAAGGUUUCCGUAGGUGAACCUGCGGAAGGAUCAUUAACACGUAUCCAACGUUAAACCCCCUGUGAAUUUUAAGUCCUGCUCCGGAAUCUUUUCAAACAGCAAUCCCAGUAAAUCAUUGUUGAACAGUUUUGAUUUGGGACCUCUGCUUGGUGAGUGAACGUUGAGACGGUUGAGAUAGGGGCAUGGCUUCCCGAAUCAUUCACCAAAUGAAAGCGUUGGUGAUUGUGUAAGGAUAACGCUUCUCGGUCGCUGGAGGCCCACCCGGCCGGCGGACAUGCCUCAUGGGCGCAAGCCCCUUAAUAACCCCACUAACUUACCUCACCUGCCGCGAAAGCCGCAGGUGCAAAACGAACAACUGUUAACAAUGGAUAUCUUGGUUCUC
rnacentral:misc_RNA from 1 species